GCCGCUAAUACCGCAUGUGGUUGUCGUAACUGUGGUUAUGACAAAGAAAGGGGCCGCAAGGCCCUGCCGAAAGAUGAGUCCGCCCCCCAUUAGCUAGUUGGCGGGAUAAUAGCCCACCAAGGCUUCGAUGGGUAGCCGAGCUGAGAGGUUGAUCGGCCACACUGGAACUGAGACACGGUCCAGACACCUACGGGUGGCAGCAGUAGGGAAUAUUGGUCAAUGGGCGCAAGCCUGAACCAGCCAUGCCGCGUGAGUGAUGAAGGCCUUCGGGUCGUAAAACUCUUUUCUGAGGGAAGAACAUCCUGCGUAGGAAAUGACGUGGGCUUGACGGUACCUCAGGAAUAAGCAACGGCUAACUCCGUGCCAGCAGCCGCGGUAAUACGGAGGUUGCGAGCGUUGUACUGGGCGUAAAGGGAGCGCA
rnacentral:rRNA from 1 species